AGGACGAACGGCUGGCGGCGUGCCUAACACAUGCAAGUCGAGCGAGGAGAUCCUCGGGAUGAUCCUAGCGGCGGACGGGUGAGUAACACGUGGGCAACCUGCCUCAUAGAGAGGAAUAGCCUUCCGAAAGGGAGAUUAAUACCUCAUAACAUUGCAGUUUCGCAUGGAACAGCAAUUAAAGGAGUAAUCCGCUAUGAGAUGGGCCCGCGGCGCAUUAGCUAGUUGGUGAGGUAAUGGCUCACCAAGGCGACGAUGCGUAGCCGACCUGAGAGGGUGAUCGGCCACAUUGGGACUGAGACACGGCCCAGACUCCUACGGGAGGCAGCAGUGGGGAAUAUUGCACAAUGGGGGAAACCCUGAUGCAAGCAACGCCGCGUGAGUGAUGACGGCCUUCGGGUUGUAAAGCUCUGUCUUCAGGGACGAUAAUGACGGUACCUGAGGAGGAAGCCACGGCUAACUACGUGCCAGCCGCAGC
rnacentral:rRNA from 1 species